UGGGGAAUAUUGCACAAUGGAGGGAACUCUGAUGCAGCGACGCCGCGUGAGUGAUGAAGGACUUCGUUUCGUAAAACUCUGUUCUAUGGGAAGAAAAGGACUGUACCAUAGGAGAAAGCUCUGGCUAAAUACGUGCCAGCAGCCGCGGUAAUACGUAUGGAGCGAGCGUUGUCCGGAAUUAUUGGGCGUAAAGGGUGCGCAGGCGGCUUUACAAGUUGGAUGUGAAAUAUUGUGGCUCAACCACAAACGUGCAUCCAAAACUGCAAAGCUUGAGUUAAGGAGAGGUAAGUGGAAUUCCUGGUGUAGCGGUGGAAUGCGUAGAUAUCAGGAGGAAUACCGGUGGCGAAGGCGACUUACUGGACUUAAACUGACGCUCAGGCACGAAAGCGUGGGGAGCAAACAGG
rnacentral:rRNA from 1 species